UUUAUAAAAGUAUGGCACCUCUUCCCUCUCUCUCUCUUGCUCUUCUUGCCAUGUGACACCUCGCCCUUCACCUUCUGCCAUGAGUAAAACUUCCUGGGGCCUUACCAGAAAUCAAGCAGAUACUGGCACUAUGCUUGUAGAGCCCGCAAAACUAAAGGACUAUAAAUCAUGCUGCUAUAAAGACACAUGCACACAUAUGUUUAUUGCAGCACUAUUCACAAUAGCAAGGACUUGGAACCAACCCAAAUGUCCAACAAUGAUAGACUGGAUUAAGAAAAUGUGGCACAUAUACACCAUGGAAUACUAUGCAGCCAUAAGAAAUUCUCUUCUUGAAGACUGUGUUUUCUGAUUAAACCCGCCCUUACAAUUUAGAAUUUAGUCUCUUUUUUUUUACAUUUAUUUAGUUAUCCUUCAAAUGUUUUAAAUCAAGUGCUGAAUUGUUUUAAAAAAAAUGGGAGAUGGAUCCUCUUUCUUGAAGCUUAUAACUUUUAUAAAAUCCAAAGAAGUUGCUUUAAAAAUUCCCCUCCCAGACAAUUGCAUCCCCCACCAUCUAAGUCUCUGUUAUUCAAUUUUCAAUUUCUCUUCCUGGUUACAUAGUUUGUGCACUUUGGUUUUACUCAUUAAUUAUACCUUUUUCUCCUUGACUUACCAGAAUCAUUAAAUGACCACAGGAUUUUCCCUAUUACUGCAUAUUUAAAAAUCUUCUUUUUCAUCAAAUAAUAGUGUAGAAUAUCAGAAUAACCUGCAUAUUUGCUGCAUUAUGCACUUGGAGAUUUGUAGAGAACAGAACAAUAAUUUUUAUUUGAGAACAGAAAAAUAAUUUUUUAUUUCAUGUAUUUCCGGUUCUGUUUUAAGUCUGGAGUGAUUAUGUGGGAAGUAUGAAACAUGCCUCAACCCACAAUGGUCUUACUACCCGAUUGAAGAAGAUAGGCUUUUAAAAGAAAAAAUCUUAUAAUGCUGUAAUAUGAACAGCAUGUAAUGAAGUGCGGCAACAUUGACUCAUAAGUGCACAGAGGUGGGGACAGCCAUGGAAGGAUGAGAGGUUGGGUGAGGCUCUCCAGGGCCCUCAGAGCUCUAAAGACACUGAAAGAUUUGGAAUGACAAACAAAGAGAGACGCUGUUCUGACUGGGAAACAGCCUCAAUAAAAUACAGAGUACACAUGGAAUAUGAGGGCUCCGUAAAGGGACCCUCAUGUUCCCCACUUCAGUCACAGAAAGUAAACAACUCCCAAUAAAACGUUUUCUGCAAAUAAAAUAACCAGUACUUCUCUUGAGGGGGUCCACAAGGAGCACUUUUACAGAUGGAUGAAUUGGCAGCUAUGUUUUGUUUGGUAAAACAGAAACCAGCAGGCAAACAUCCUGAUAUUAACUCAGGAACAUCUCCAGCCACAACAUUUUCAUUUGUUCUUACGUAUUCUUAGACCAGAUGAAGUGGAUUUUUCCCUUACAAAGGAAUUCGGAAUGUAUACUAAGGAAACCAUUCCCUUCUGGGAUCCAAUCUAGUCCUUGUUUGGGAAACAAAAUGUGAAACAUAUCCAGGUGGCUGAAAGAGAAGAGACAUCCUGACAAUACUCUUCAGAAGGCUCCCUGGAUCCUCCCUUCCUCCACGUCAUUUUACCAGCCCUUGAAAAUGUACUUUUCUCCCAAAUAAGGAUACUUAUAUUCGCAUUCUGUAAGCAGUCCUAGUCUUAGUGAGAGAAGGCAUGCGCAUACCAUCCCAAGCAUGCGCUGCAGAACAAGAGAUCAGCGUGCUUCCCCUCAAAGGCCUAUUCCCACGGGCCUUUCCCGUGUCCCCUCUUGUCACCACUACUCAUAUCUCUAUAUUUCACACCAAAGCCAGUGGAAGCCAAUGGAAGUUCCACAGUCUGCCUAGAUUCCGUAAGGGUCUGAUCAUCCAAGGGCAAGAACAAAUUGCUGGCAAACAGUCACACACAUGUUUGUAAUCACUGACAUUUGCACUGCUACAAAUAAAGAAUGCAUUUCUCCUACACAUGUACAUUGAAGAUGGUUAGGAAAAUCUGUUUUGAGUUAAGCUUCUUUUCUUUGAUAUGCAUUUCCAAUUACUAAACCAAUGCUGCUUUAAUUUUGUUUGUAGGAAGCUGAACUGACACGAAACAAAAGAAGUCCGUUGUUUUGGAUUGAGUUCCAUACUUGGCUGGCCCAGAGGUUGAUCUCACCACCAUUCAGAUAUCCAAGAAGAAGCCACCUGUUGGAUUUAAGAAAACCCACAAUAUCUCUCACCCUUGGUAACAGAGGGGAGGGGUUCAGUGAACCCUGAGUUUAGCCAUCUAUGUAUAAGUUGACAUUUUGCAUAACUUAUAUUUUCGGGGUCUCUUCUUAUCACUUUCUGUCUUUGCAGCUAAAACCAGGUUGCCAUUUAGGAAUGGCUCUUUGCAAUUUUUAUUUGAAUGAAAAAUUUCCUAUGAUUUCAUGUAGUUCUCCACAUCUUUAAUGUAUCAGAAUUUAAAAUAAACUACAGAUUGCUCAGUUCAAUAGAUACAAUGUUUAUAUAUACGAUGAUACAUGUCAAUAUAUAUAUAAGGUUUUAGACUUAAGUAAAAUAUUGAUUAGAUGAAAUAGAAAUAAAUUAAUACAAAUCUCUGCCCAUGUUAUGUCAGAGUAAUUAAUAUACUAUACUUACACAUUAUUACAUAUAAGGCCCACAUAUGAUGUUUUAUAUGUAAUCCUAGUAUGAGUCACCAUUUUGGAAAUAAAUCAUCAUUAUGAACCAAGAUGUACAUAUUUUUAAACAUACAAAGCCAAAUUCUUGCCUGUCUGCAAGUUGAAACACAUGGGCAAUUAACGGUACUUCAGAAAACUGAAAAAGAUCUCUUAAGGAUUUAUAAAAGUUUGUUAAAUUUUUAGCAUUUUUAGCAACACACUUCCAGACCUAAAGCCAUCUGAGGCUUCUCUAUUUUGCUAGUAUCUGAGACAUGUUAAAGCUCUAUUUAGCGCUAGAAGUUUUGACCAUUUGCUCUCUAGAGCCACCCCAUCUGCUCUGGAGCCUGUGGAGGGUGGGCAAGGCUGCACCCUGGGGGCUGGUCCUUGCUCAGAGCCUCUCUGUAGCUUAGGGGGAGGCUGCACCUUGUUCCAAAGCAACACAGACCUCUCUCUGCUUAACCUAAAGAGACAUGAGGUGCCAGGAGCCACAGGGCAGGGCAGUUUUAUUGUGGUGAUUCUGUGUUAGUGACAAUGCUGAGUCAGUGUGUCACUUUCAACAGGCAUUUUAAAUUUCCUUUGGAUAUUGUGAUCACUCUUCCAGCAGGUCCCUCAUUCCUAUCCCGUCAACUUCCAUUUCUCUUUACUCUCAUUGAUCAUGUAAUAAAGCAAUGGGAAAUUUCCUGAAACAACUUUUAUUUUUAUAACCUUACUCUGUGGUGUAUCUAUGCACAACGACUAAAGGAGUGGAAGCUCAUUACCAGUAACGUUUUCGAGGACUUUAAAACCAACUUUUCUGUGCUGAGCUGUCUGGAAGUUCCUCAUGAUACCGGUGACCACAUUUUUCUUAUCAUUUUCUUAUGAAGUUAUUUUGAAAAUUUUCCCAUCCAAAUGGACCAGUGGGUGGACAGGGGACACAAUUACUAAUAAACUAUGUAAUCAUUUACAAUAUAAAGUGGGAGAACUUCAACCAGGUUUUGGCAGCUAGCUGGUAACACUCCUGGUAACAUAAAAAGGUAUCUUGCAGUUAAAAAAAUAAGUUUUGAAAUAGUAAACUCAUGACGGAAAUCUUAAGUUAUUUAAACAUUUUCCAAAGGACAUAGUCAUCCCAAGAGCAAUAGAAUUGAAAUAGGAACAUUGUUAAUUUAUGUUGGGUUAAAAAUACUUUGCAUAUUUAAUGUUAAUUUUAGCUUUAGCUUUUGCUCAGAAGUUCUGCAAAUACCUGAAGGGAUUUCAGCUUGCUCACCACCUCUCCUACACACCCCUGUCAAAUGGCAUGGACUGCUAUUGUUAUCAGUUUUAGUAGUCGCGUUAUUUUCCAUGUGAAGUCAGAGUUUAGAAGCGCUGCUCUUUUACCACUUUGGAUGAUUCCUACACUUCCUGGGAGGGAAGGAUGACAAUAGUCAUAUUGAAUUUGUGUUCCAUUUUGUCUCCUUUUCUUUAAAAUUUUGCCACUGAAAGUGCAGAAUAUCUGAAACAGAAUGAAACCUCACUGGAAAAUACAGUCUGUUAGUGAGUGCUGGUGAUACAACUUACCCCAAAGGAACAAGUUCAAAUUCUGAAGUUCAUACCUUGGUGAGGGUGAGAUAAGUUGCCUUGCUGUAGCAUGCAUUGAUGUCUAAGUAUGCCUUAGGAGGAAAUAAUAAUGCACAUGUUGAUUGUUAAAAGUACUAUCUGCUCCAUAGAAACCUGGAAUCUUUUGCAAAGUCCGUGAUACUUUGAAACACGAAAGGCUGGAAGUGUCAUUAGCUGGGAAGGAUGAAUGCAGCAGCUAUUGGAAGGAUAAACAGAAGGUCCAGGUGGGAGCCGAUUCUCCAAGGAGCUCGCUUCUUUGGUUCUCAAUGGGAUGGUGGAAAUAAGCUUCAGACAUGAAGAAGUCUGAAGUGGGUUAAGGUUCCAGUUCUCUUCUUGAGGAGUCUUCUGUCUUCCUGGUCCCAAACGCAGACCAUUUUAUGAAAGGCCUUUACCAGGCAGCUUUUCAGCUUCUGGAGAAACAUUUCCUGUCAACUGGGCUCCACCUGCAGAGAUGAGACACAGCUUGGGCAGAAGCAUGGACCUCCAGGGCCUGAAACUGAGCACAGAAGACAUCCCUGACUUACACCCUGACUUGUAAUCUGGAACCACGCAGAGAUUUUCAAUGACAAUGUGGGGAAACAGAAUUUGUCUGAACUUUGGUGAUUUUGAAUGAAGUUUAUAUAAUAAUUAAAGCCAGGGCAGAUUUGGCAGUCUUCUUGAAAGGAAGUAAUGCUUAUUGUGGUCAGAAGAAAGAGUGAGGCAACUCAGGGUCUGAAAAAAGAGACAUGAAGAAAGCUGAGGACCAAUCCAUUCCAAGGUUCACUGUGGAAAUGGGGCCCAACCCUUAAAAGGUUAUUCAUUAAGUAGAAGUGGAUCACCAUAAAGGUCUUCAUCCUCAUCAUCUUAUGUUGAGUAGGCUCCGCUUCUCUGUAUGUGUCACUCUUGCAGGCCAGUCUCUCACUUCACCUCCAUGAGCACGGGCUGCACUGCUGGUGUGAACCAUGGCAGGACUGAUGCCCUGAAGUUACCCAGCUGGUACUUAGUGGAAGCAGGAUUUCAGGCUGAGGAGUCUGGCCCCGGUCUCUGUGCUUUUAGCAGCUCAGCCCAGCUGCUUCUCGGCCACCCUUGCGACAUCAUCUUCCAUCUCACACUGCCAAGGGCAGGAAUGCCAGACUUAUUAGAAAAGCCUUGAAAAACUUAAGAAUGUAAGUAUUAAAAAGUUCAGCAUCUCAAAUAUUUAUCAUUGCUUUGUAGUGAGAACACUUAAAAUCUUUUCUUUUAGAUGUUUUGAAAUACAUAGUACAUUAACUAUAGUCACCAUGUUUUGCAAUAAACCACCAGAACUGAUUCCUCCCAUGUAACUGAAACUUUGCACUCUUUGGCAAACAU
rnacentral:lncRNA from 1 species